AGUGAACGCUGGCGGUAGGCCUAACACAUGCAAGUCGAACGGCAGCACAGUAAGAGCUUGCUCUUACGGGUGGCGAGUGGCGGACGGGUGAGGAAUACAUCGGAAUCUACUUUUUCGUGGGGGAUAACGUAGGGAAACUUACGCUAAUACCGCAUACGACCUACGGGUGAAAGCAGGGGAUCUUCGGACCUUGCGCGAUUGAAUGAGCCGAUGUCGGAUUAGCUAGUUGGCGGGGUAAAGGCCCACCAAGGCGACGAUCCGUAGCUGGUCUGAGGGGAUGAUCAGCCACACUGGAACUGAGACACGGUCCAGACUCCUACGGGAGGCAGCAGUGGGGAAUAUUGGACAAUGGGCGCAAGCCUAAUCCAGCCAUACCGCGUGGGUGAAGAAGGCCUUCGGGUUGUAAAGCCCUUUUGUUGGGAAAGAAAAGCAGCAGGUUAAUACCCCGCUGUUCUGACGGUACCCAAAGAAUAAGCACCGGCUAACUUCGUG
rnacentral:rRNA from 1 species